GGUGGCUCAGUGGUAGAGCGCUAGCCUUACAUGCAUGAGGCCCUGGGUUCGAUUCCUCAGCACCA
rnacentral:tRNA from 1 species